rnacentral:ncRNA from 1 species
GUUUCAGGGCGGGGUGCAAUUCCCCACCGGCGGUAAGCGGUCUGCGAAGGAAAGCAGCCGUAAGCCCGCGACCGGCCUUUUGGGGCCGCUGAUCCGGUGUGAUUCCGGGGCCGACGGUAUAGUCCGGAUGAAAGAAA